UACGGAGGAUCCAAGCGUUAUCCGGAUUUAUUGGGUUUAAAGGGUGCGUAGGCGGCUUUGUAAGUUAGAGGUGAAAGCCUGGAGCUCAACUUCAGAAUUGCCUUUAAGACUGCAUCGCUUGAAUCCGGGAGAGGUGAGUGGAAUUCCGAGUGUAGAGGUGAAAUUCGUAGAUAUUCGCAAGAACACCAGUGGCGAAGGCGGCUCACUGGCCCGGUACUGACGCUGAGGUGCGAAAGCGUGGGGAGCAAACAGG
rnacentral:rRNA from 1 species